AGAGAAUUCAGGCCAACAUAACUAUCUGUGAAUUCCUUCUUCUCCUUAGCCUGCAAACAUGCUAAAGACCCAACCAGACCGAACCAGCUAACCAACCAGCCAACCAGCCAACCAGCCAACCAGCCAACCAGCCAACCAGCCAACCAGCCAACCAACCAGCAAAAAGCCCCACCAAAGCAAAAGAAAGAAAGAAAUUUAUUUGUUUGUUUUUAUUUAUAUGAGCACACUGCCGCUGUCUUCAGACACACCACAAGAGAGCAUCGGAUCCCACUAUAGAUAGUUGUGAGCUACCAUGUGGUCGCUGGGAAUUGAACUCAAGACUUCUGGAAGAGCACCCAGUACUCUUAACCAUUGAGCCAUCUCUGCAGCCCCACCCUGACCCCCACUUCAUGUAUUUUAUCCAUUGCUGCUUUGGAUGGAUUCCCAAAGGAUCAGGUGCUAAGAGUUUAGUCCCUGGUGUGAUGAUGGGGAGAGAGGAUGGGGCCUUCAGAACUGAUUAUAUCUUGAAGGUGAUUAAUACUUUUAUCCAAGGUCAUAUUCUUCUUCUUGUGAGAAGUUACAUAGGAGCUGGCUGUUAGAGACAAGUCAUCCCAUGUGCUUGGCCCAUUUUAUAUGCUCCUUGGUUUAUCAUAUGCUUUUCUUUCAAGUGGUCACACAGUGUGUGUCGUGUGUGUGUGUGUGUGUGUGUGUGUGCUGGAACCAUGCCUUUUGGAUCUUCCAGU
rnacentral:lncRNA from 1 species